rnacentral:rRNA from 1 species
GGACCAAGGAGUCUAGCAUGUGCGCGAGUCAUUGGGAUAUUGACUAAACCUAAAGGCGCAAUGAAAGUGAAGGUCCGCCUUGCGCGGACCGAGGGAGGAUGGGCGGUCCCGAGGGACCGCCUCGCACUCCCGGGGCGUCUCGUUCUCAUCGCGAGAAGAGGCGCACCCAGAGCGUACACGCUGGGACCCGAAAGAUGGUGAACUAUGCCUGGUCAGGACGAAGUCAGGGGAAACCCUGAUGGAGGUCCGUAGCGAUUCUGACGUGCAAAUCGAUCGUCGGAACUGGGUAUAGGGGCGAAAGACUAAUCGAACCAUCUAGUAGCUGGUUCCCUCCGAAGUUUCCCUCAGGAUAGCUGGCGCUCGCUUCUCGCGAGUCUCAUUCGGUAAAGCGAAUGAUUAGAGGCAUUGGGGUCGAAACGGCCUCAACCUAUUCUCAAACUUUAAAUGGGUGAGAUCUCCGGCUUGCUUGAACUGUGAAGCCGCGAGAUAUCGGAUCAGAGUGCCAAGUGGGCCACUUUUGGUAAGCAGAACUGGCGCUGUGGGAUGAACCAAACGCCGAGUUAAAGCGCCUAAAUCGACGCUUAUGGGAUACCAUGAAAGGCGUUGGUAACUUAAGACAGCAGG